AUACUUACCUGGCAGGGGAGACACCAUGGUCACAAAGGUCACUUUCCCAGGGCGAGCCUCACCCAUCUCACUCUGGGGUGUGCUGACCCCUGCGAUUUCCCCAAAUGCGGGAAACUCGACUGCAUAAUUUGUGGUAGUGAGGGACUGCGUUCGCGGGGAA